rnacentral:rRNA from 1 species
UACGUAGGGGGCGAGCGUUGUCCGAAUUCACUGGGCGUAAAGCGCGCGUAGGCGGCUUGUUAAGUUGGAGGUGAAAUCCCGGGGCUCAACCCCGGAACUGCCCCCAAAACUGUCAGGCUUGAGGUAUGGAGAGGGAAGUGGAAUUCCAGGUGUAGCGGUGAAAUGCGUAGAUAUCUGGAGGAACACCCGUGGCGAAGGCGGCUUCCUGGUCAUAUCCUGACGCUGAGGUGCGAAAGCUAGGGGAGCGAACGGG